rnacentral:sRNA from 1 species
UCUAGGACAACGUUGGUCUGUGGACCCAG